AUUGAACGCUGGCGGCAGGCUUAACACAUGCAAGUCGAGCGGGGAAGGGUAGCUUGCUACCUAACCUAGCGGCGGACGGGUGAGUAAUGCUUAGGAAUCUGCCUAUUAGUGGGGGACAACAUUCCGAAAGGAAUGCUAAUACCGCAUACGCCCUACGGGGGAAAGCAGGGGAUCUUCGGACCUUGCGCUAAUAGAUGAGCCUAAGUCAGAUUAGCUAGUUGGUGGGGUAAAGGCCUACCAAGGCGACGAUCUGUAGCGGGUCUGAGAGGAUGAUCCGCCAAACUGGGACUGAGACACGGCCCAGACUCCUACGGGAGGCAGCAGUGGGGAAUAUUGGACAAUGGGCGCAAGCCUGAUCCAGCCAUGCCGCGUGUGUGAAGAAGGCCUUUUGGUUGUAAAGCACUUUAAGCGAGGAGGAGGCUACUUGGAUUAAUACUCUAGGAUAGUGGACGUUACUCGCAGAAUAAGCACCGGCUAACUCUGUGCCAGCCGCCGCCGUAACAC
rnacentral:rRNA from 1 species